rnacentral:snoRNA from 1 species
UUGAAAUGCUUGAUAGACCUGAAGCAGGUAUUGUCUGCUGUUAAGGUUUCUAGACACAAGAAGAAAGUGUCCUUUCACUUUGUGUCUGUCUGAUUGUGGCAGCCAAGACUGAAUGGGGCUACAGGA